rnacentral:rRNA from 1 species
AUUGAACGCUGGCGGAAUGCUUUACACAUGCAAGUCGAACGGCAGCACGGACUUCGGUCUGGUAGCGAGUGGCGAACGGGUGAGUAAUGUAUCGGAACGUGCCCAGUCGUGGGGGAUAACGUAGUGAAAAUUACGCUAAUACCGCAUACGAUCUAUGGAUGAAAGCGGGGGAUCGCAAGACCUUGCGCGAUUGGAGCGGCCGAUAUCAGAUUAGGUAGUUGGUGGGGUAAAGGCCCACCAAGCCAACGAUCUGUAGCUGGUCUGAGAGGACGACCAGCCACACUGGAACUGAGACACGGUCCAGACUCCUACGGGAGGCAGCAGUGGGGAAUUUUGGACAAUGGGCGGAAGCCUGAUCCAGCCAUUCCGCGUGCAGGAUGAAGGCCCUCGGGUUGUAAACUGCUUUUGUACAGAACGAAAAGGUUUCUACUAAUACUAGGAGCUCAUGACGGUACUGUAAGAAUAAGCACCGGCUAACUACGUGCCAGCCGCCGCCGUAA